rnacentral:rRNA from 1 species
CCUAACACAUGCAAGUCGAACGAGGUAGCAAUACCUAGUGGCGGACGGGUGAGGAAUACGUAGGGAUCUGCCUUUAAGUGGGGGAUAACCCGGGGAAACCCGGAUUAAUACCGCAUGAUCUCGCAAGAGCAAAGAGGGGGACCGCAAGGCCUCUCGCUUUUAGAGGAACCUACGUCGGAUUAGCUAGUUGGUGAGGUAAUGGCUCACCAAGGCGACGAUCCGUAACUGGUCUGAGAGGAUGAUCAGUCACACCGGAACUGAGACACGGUCCGGACUCCUACGGGAGGCAGCAGUGGGGAAUAUUGGACAAUGGGCGAAAGCCUGAUCCAGCAAUACCGCGUGUGUGAAGAAGGCCUUCGGGUUGUAAAGCACUUUAAGUUGGGAAGAAAAAGCUUCACCUAAUACGUGAAGCCAUGACGGUACCGACAGAAUAAGCACCGGCUAACUCUGUGCCAGCAGCCGCGGUAAUACAGAGGGUGCUAGCGUUAAUCGGAUUUACUGGGCGUAAAG